UGGUCGGGAUAGCUCAGCUGGUAGA
rnacentral:tRNA from 4 species